GCAUUAGCAGCAUCACAGGUGCAGUCCCUGUUGCAAAAACAUAUUGAUGUAGUGUGUAACAUCAACCCUGACAAAACAAGGUCAGGAUAAGGAUUAGCACCUUCACAAGAGCUCCAAACAUGGCCUGAGAAAAAUCACUCAACUUCUUUUGGAACAG